rnacentral:rRNA from 1 species
GAUGAACGCUGGCGGCGUGCCUAAUACAUGCAAGUCGAGCGAACAGAUGAGGAGCUUGCUCCUCUGACGUUAGCGGCGGACGGGUGAGUAACACGUGGAUAACCUACCUAUAAGACUGGGAUAACUUCGGGAAACCGGAGCUAAUACCGGAUAAUAUAUUGAACCGCAUGGUUCAAUAGUGAAAGACGGUUUUGCUGUCACUAAUAGAUGGAUCCGCGCCGCAUUAGCUAGUUGGUAAGGUAACGGCUUACCAAGGCAACGAUGCGUAGCCGACCUGAGAGGGUGAUCGGCCACACUGGAACUGAGACACGGUCCAGACUCCUACGGGAGGCAGCAGUAGGGAAGCUGCCGCAAUGGGCGAAAGCCUGACGGAGCAACGCCGCGUGAGUGAUGAAGGUCUUCGGAUCGUAAAACUCUGUUAUUAGGGAAGAACAAAUGUGUAAGUAACUAUGCACGUCUUGACGGUACCUAAUCAGAAAGCCACGGCUAACUACGUG